UACAGAGGGUGCUAGCGUUGUUCGGAAUCAUUGGGCGUAAAGGGCGUGUAGGCGGUUUGUUAAGUCAUGUGUGAAAUCCCUCGGCUCAACCGGGGAACGACGCAUGAAACUGGCAAGCUAGAGUACCAAAGAGGGGGGUGGAAUUCCCGGUGUAGCGGUGAAAUGCGUAGAUAUUGGGAGGAACACCAGUGGCGAAGGCGGCUCACUGGACCGGAACUGACGCUGAGGCGCGAAAGCGUGGGGAGCAAACAGG
rnacentral:rRNA from 1 species